rnacentral:rRNA from 1 species
GUCCACGCUGUAAACGAUGUCUGCUAGCCGUUGGGAUCCUUGAGGUUUCGGUGGCGCAGCUAACGCGAUAAGCAGACCGCCUGGGGAGUACGGCCGCAAGGUUAAAACUCAAAUGAAUUGACGGGGGCCCGCACAAGCGGUGGAGCAUGUGGUUUAAUUCGAUGCAACGCGAAGAACCUUACCAGGUCUUGACAUCCAGCGAACUGCCCAGAGAUGGGCGGUGCCUUCGGGAACGCUGAGACAGGUGCUGCAUGGCUGUCGU